UACGGAAGGGGGCUAGCGUUGUUCGGAAUUACUGGGCGUAAAGCGCGCGUAGGCGGAUCUGCAAGUCGGGGGUGAAAUCCCGAGGCUCAACCUCGGAACUGCCUUCGAUACUGCGGGUCUCGAGUCCGGGAGAGGUGAGUGGAAUUCCUAGUGUAGAAGGUGAAAUUCGUAGAUAUUAGGAAGAACACCAGUGGCGAAGGCGGCUCACUGGCCCGGUACUGACGCUGAGGCGCGAAAGCGUGGGGAGCAAACAGG
rnacentral:rRNA from 1 species